UCUAGCGUGUGCGCGAGUCAUUGGGUGUAAAACCUAAAGGCGCAAUGAAAGUGUCAGGGGGGCCUCCUUUAGGAGCGUCUCCCGCAGGGAGGAUGGGCCACCGUACAAUUAUUUGUCGGAGCCCCGCACUCCCGGGGCGUCUCGUUCUCAUUACGAGUGGAGACGCACCAGGAGCGCACACGCUGGUACCCGAAAGAUGGUGAACUAUGCCUGGCCAGGACGAAGCCAGGGGAAACCCUGGUGGAGGUCCGAAGCGAUUCUGACGUGCAAAUCGAUCGUCUGAGCUGGGUAUAGGGGCGAAAGACCAAUCGAA
rnacentral:rRNA from 1 species